AGAGUUACCUGCCAGGGGAGGCACCUUGUUCACAAAGGAGGUUUUCCCAGGGUGAUACUCAUCCAUUGCACUCCAGGUGUGCUGACCCCUGCAAUUUCCCCAAAUGUGGAAAACUUGACUGCAUAAUUUCUAGCAGUGGGGGACUGUGUUUGUGCUUUUGUAGG